rnacentral:rRNA from 1 species
AUUGAACGCUGGCGGAAUGCUUUACACAUGCAAGUCGAACGGCAGCACGGGAGCUUGCUCCUGGUGGCGAGUGGCGAACGGGUGAGUAAUAUAUCGGAACGUAUCCAAUAAUGGGGGAUAACUAGUCGAAAGAUUAGCUAAUAACGCAUACGCCCUGAGGGGGAAAGCUGGGGAUCUUAGGACCUAGCGUUAAUGGAGCGGCCGAUAUCUGAUUAGCUAGUAGGUGAGGUAAAAGCUCACCUAGGCGACGAUCAGUAGCUGGUCUGAGAGGACGACCAGCCACACUGGAACUGAGACACGGUCCAGACUCCUACGGGAGGCAGCAGUGGGGAAUUUUGGACAAUGGGCGCAAGCCUGAUCCAGCCAUUCCGCGUGAGUGAAGAAGGCCUUCGGGUUGUAAAGCUCUUUCGCAAGGGAAGAAAACUUAACCUCUAACAUAGGUUGAGGCUGACGGUACCUUGAUAAGAAGCACCGGCUAACUACGUGCCAGCCGCCGCGGUAA